UACGUAGGGUGCAAGCGUUAUCCGGAAUUAUUGGGCGUAAAGAGCUCGUAGGCGGCUUGUCGCGUCGGAUGUGAAAGCCCGGGGCUUAACUCCGGGUCUGCAUUCGAUACGGGCAGGCUAGAGUUCGGUAGGGGAGAUCGGAAUUCCUGGUGUAGCGGUGAAAUGCGCAGAUAUCUGGAGGAACACCGGUGGCGAAGGCGGCAUCCUGGACCGGCAUUGACGCUGAGGAGCGAAAGCCAGGGGAGCAAACGGG
rnacentral:rRNA from 1 species